CGGGCCUCGUGGGGGUUCUGGUAGAGGGCGUUCAUGUCGCGAGAGGUGUCCUCAGUGUUCUCCCAGUCGAAGGAGAAGCGGAACUUCUCGCUCGGCUUGAUGACGCGCUUCUUCGGCUUCUUUGAUCCCAAGUACUGCUCCUUGAUGGACUCCAGCUCCUUCUCGCGCUCGCGCUCCGCCUGCUUCUCGAGGCGCUGGCGCUCGCGG
rnacentral:misc_RNA from 1 species